rnacentral:rRNA from 1 species
GUCUUUCGCCAUACCACCAUGAACUGCCCAUCUCACCCACCCUACCCUUUGGAAGCUAAGCAGGAUUGGGCCUGGUUAGUACUUGGAUGGGAGAUCACCUGUAAAUACCAGGUGCUGUAGGCU